CCCCUGGAUGUUCUGGGCCGCACGCGCGCUACACUGAACAGUUCAACAAGUCUUAACCUUGGCCGAUAGGUCUGGGUAAUCUUUGAACGCUGUUCGUGAUUGGGAUAGACCUUUGCAAUUAUGGGUCUUCAACGAGGAAUUCCUAGUAAACGCAAGUCAUCAGCUUGCAUUGAUUACGUCCCUGCCCUUUGUACACACCGCCCGUCGCACCUACCGAUUGAAUGGUCCGGUGAAAUCUCGGGACGGCGGCUUGGUCGCUUGCGUCCGACUGCUGAAACUUGAUUAAACCAUAUCAUUUAGAGGAAGGUGAAGUCGUAACA
rnacentral:rRNA from 1 species